rnacentral:snRNA from 1 species
UUUGGCAACACUACCUAAAUAUACUAAAAUUGGAAGAGAAGAUUAGCAUGGCCCCUGUGCAAGGAUGACACGCAAAUUCAUGAAGUGUUCCAUAUUUUU